rnacentral:rRNA from 1 species
UACGUAGGGGGCUAGCGUUGUCCGGAAUCAUUGGGCGUAAAGCGCGCGUAGGCGGCCCGGUAAGUCCGCUGUAAAAGUCAAAGGCUCAACCUUUGAAUGCCGGUGGAUACUGUCGGGCUAGAGUCCGGAAGAGGCGAGUGGAAUUCCUGGUGUAGCGGUGAAAUGCGCAGAUAUCAGGAGGAACACCGGUGGCGAAGGCGGAUCUCUGGGCCUUACCUGACGCUCAGGCGCGAAAGCUAGGGGAGCGAACUGG